rnacentral:rRNA from 1 species
ACGGGAGGCAGCAUUGGGGAAUAUUGCACAAUGGGGGAAACCCUGAUGCAGCGACGCCGCGUGAGUGAAGAAGUAUUUCGGUAUGUAAAGCUCUAUCAGCAGGGAAGAAAAUGACGGUACCUGACUAAGAAGCCCCGGCUAACUACGUGCCAGCAGCCGCGGUAAUAUGUAGGGGGCAAGCGUUAUCCGGAUUUACUGGGUGUAAAGGGAGCGUAGACGGCGAUGCAAGUCUGAUGUGAAAGCCCGGGGCUCAACCCCGGCACUGCAUUGGAAACUGUGUUGCUAGAGUGCAGGAGAGGUAAGUGGAAUUCCUAGUGUAGCGGUGAAAUGCGUAGAUAUUAGGAGGAACACCGGAGGCGAAGGCGGCUUACUGGACUGUAACUGACGUUGAGGCUCGAAAGCGUGGGGAGCAAACAGGAUUAGAUACCCUGGUA